rnacentral:rRNA from 1 species
CCUACGGGUGGCAGCAGUGGGGAAUAUUGGGCAAUGGGCGCAAGCCUGACCCAGCAACGCCGCGUGAAGGAAGAAGGCUUUCGGGUUGUAAACUUCUUUUCUCAGGGACGAAGAAAGUGACGGUACCUGAGGAAUAAGCCACGGCUAACUACGUGCCAGCAGCCGCGGUAAUACGUAGGUGGCAAGCGUUUUCCGGAUUUAUUGGGUGUAAAGGGCGGGUAGGCGGGAGCGCAAGUCAGAUGUGAAAACUCAGGGCUCAACCCUGAGCCAGCAUUUGAAACUGUGUUUCUUGAGUGCUGGGGAGGCAAUCGGAAUUCCGGGUGUAGCGGUGAAAUGCGUAGAUAUACGGAGGAACACCAGUGGCGAAGGCGGAUUGCUGGGCAGUAACUGACGCUGAGGCGCGAAAGCGUGGGGAGCGAACAGGAUUAGAUACCCUUGUAGUC